rnacentral:rRNA from 1 species
CACGUAGGCGGUGAAUCGGGUUGAAAGUGAAAGUCGCCAAAAAAGUGGCGGAAUGCUCUCGAAACCAAUUCACUUGAGUGAGACAGAGGAGAGUGGAAUUUCGUGUGUAGGGGUGAAAUCCGUAGAUCUACGAAGGAACGCCAAAAGCGAAGGCAGCUCUCUGGGUCCCUACCGACGCUGGGGUGCGAAAGCAUGGGGAGCGAACA